rnacentral:rRNA from 1 species
CCUACGGGAGGCAGCAGUGAGGAAUAUUGGUCAAUGUACGCGAGUCUGAACCAGCCCAGUAGCGUGAAGGAUGACUGCCCUAUGGGUUGUACACUUCUUUUAUAAAGGAAUAAAACGAGGCAAGUGUGCCUUGUUGCAUGUACUUUAUGAAUAAGGAUCGGCUAACUCCGUUCCAGCAGCCGCGGUAAUACGGAGGAUCCGAGCGUUAUCCGGAUUUAUUGGGUUUAAAGGGAGCGGAGAUGGGUUGUUAAGUCAGUUGUGAAAGUUUGCGGCUCAACCGUAAAAUUGCAAUUGAUACUGGCAGUCUUGAGUACAGUUGAGGUAGGCGGAAUUCGUGGUGUAGCGGUGAAAUGCUUAGAUAUCACGAAGAACCCCGAUUGCGAAGGCAGCUUACUAAACUGUGACUGACAUUGAUGCUCGAAAGUGUGGGUAUCAAACAGGAUUAGAUACCCGGGUAGUC